AACGUAGGACGCAAGCGUUAUCCGGAGUACUGGGCGUAAAGCGCGGGCAGGCGGUUGUCUAAGUCUGAUGUGAAAGCGCUUGGCUCAACCAAGCGAUGCCAUUGGAAACUGGGCAACUGGAGUCUGGGCAGAGGUAGGCGGAAUUCCACGUGUAGCGGUGAAAUGCGUAGAGAUGUGGAGGAACACCAGUGGCGAAGGCGACUCUUUGGCCUGUAACUGACGCUGAGGCGCGAAAGCGUGGGGAGCAAACAGG
rnacentral:rRNA from 1 species